rnacentral:rRNA from 1 species
AGUGGGGAAUAUUGCGCAAUGGCCGAAAGGCUGACGCAGCGACGCCGCGUGGGGGAUGAAGCAUUUCGGUGUGUAAACCCCUGUUGCUCGGGACGAACAACUGGAUUUGUCCAGUCUGACGGUACCGGGUGAGGAAGCACCGGCUAACUCCGUGCCAGCAGCCGCGGUAAUACGGAGGGUGCGAGCGUUGUCCGGAAUCACUGGGCGUAAAGGGCGCGUAGGCGGUCUGCUAAGCGUGCGGUGAAAGCCUGGGGCUCAACCCCAGGUCUGCCGUGCGAACUGGUGGACUAGAGCACUGUAGAGGCGAGUGGAAUUCCGGGUGUAGCGGUGGAAUGCGUAGAGAUCCGGAAGAACACCGGUGGCGAAGGCGGCUCGCUGGGCAGUAGCUGACGCUGAGGCGCGACAGCGUGGGGAGCAAA